rnacentral:lncRNA from 1 species
UGCUCAGUAGCCCCGCAGGUCCUGUUUCACUGGGAAGCCGGCCGCGGCCCCCACCCCUCCCGCCCGGCUCGGGCGCCAGGAGAAGCGGACAUUUUAGCCUCCUCUGCAAUCCGCUCUCGUUCGUGUCCUUCUCCCCCUCUCGUCCGCUGCAAUGCCGGAAUUUUAAAUAGAGAUGAAAGGCCCCUGCCCCCGCCUCCCUCCUCCCCUGAGUUCAUGUAUUAUGAAUGAAACGCCAGCCUGGCUGCUUCCUGAGGUGCUCCACUUCAGGCUUGAGUGCAAUGGUGCUGUGUCUGCAGUUUGUUCCUGCCGGUGGGUUCGUGGUCUCCCUGACUUCAAGAAUGAAGCUGCGGACCUUCACGGUGAGUGUUAUCGCUCUUAAAGGUGGCGUGGGCCCAAAGAGUGAGUAGCAGCAAGAUUUGUUGUGAAGAGUGAAAGAACAAAGCUUCCACAGCAUGGAAAGGGAACCGAGUGGGUUGCCAGUGCUGGCUGGGGUGGCCAGCUUUUAUUCCCUUAUUGGCCCCUCUCAUAUUCCAUUUCUGUCUAAGUAGAGUGCCCUUUUUCAAUCCUCCCUGUGAUUGGCUACUUUUAGGAUCCUGCUGAUUAUUGCAUUUUACAGAGCGCUGAUUGGUGCAUUUUAC